CCUCCUGUUUGCUUCCGUAAGCGCUCAAGCCGCGCAAACGAAAACAGGUGGUCCAGAUUCAAGAUUUCGUCCUCAAUGUGUGGCUAUUCGUCGUUGAAAUUAUAUUAUCCGUAGGUUAUCAAAGGUUAAACAACUCUUUAAGAAUUAUUUCUAACGGCUGAGAUCCUUUCAGGAGGAUCAGAUCAGAAGGUUAUGGGCAAUGCUGCCAAGGAAAUUCAGGUAAAUCCCCGAGAGUGUAGGAUUUGCAUUGAAAAUUAUGAUCCUGUUACCCAAAAGCCCAAAGUUU